UUUUGGAUAAAGUAUGAACUAAGUGGGCAUGAAAAUGGAAAAUGAAUAUUAGUAAUACUGGAAGGAGAUGAAGAUGAAAAUGGAAAAUGAAUAUUAGUAAUACUGUCUGAACUUUAUGAUCCUCUUCUCUAACAUCAAUCUUUACUGCUGAGGAAUUCUGUUAUUGCUGCCGGCCUAUUCUGAAUAUGUGACUUCUUUCUGUUUUAAAUUUGCUACUUUUAUGUCGUAACUUUGAACUUUGCUUCAGAAUCUUCUCUUCCAGUUAUAUUUUGCGGUUUAUGACUUUCUAGAUUGAUUAACAUAGAAAAUAGAUAAACUAUACAGUUAACAACUGGUUGAGGAUGUAAACGCUUGACAAUGGGAGAAUGUAGUUUCAAAAUCAAAGAAAAUCCUUUGGUAACAAUUUAUAUCUCAUUUGGCCUAAUAGAAGUUUCGUUUGUAGCCAUUUGAAAUCAUAAAUUACUUUGUAUUACAAGUAACGUUUCUUUAAUUUUUCUGUCAUUUUUUAAGUUUCAAGAUUCAUGUAAUGAAUUUUCUGUUUUCAUUGGAACAUGAGGGGAAAUUGUGAUUAAUUCAGAGUUAUGACAUGCGUGUGCAGGCCCAUUCGUUUGUUUACCUCCUGUGGGAAGUCUUGUGGUCUAUUUUCCUCAAGGUCAUAGUGAACAAGUACGUCCUUUCUCUCCUUUCUCUCUAUUUCGAGAAAUAUUGUAAAUUUUCACACGAUAUCUGAUAUGUACUUGUAUAUAUUCUAUUUGUAGGUGGCAGCAUUGAUUCAAAAGGAGGCUGAGAGCAUCCCAAGUUAUCCAAACCUUCCGUCGAAGUUGAUCUCCAUGCUCCAUAAUGUCAAUUUACAUGUAUGAACACUUCCAUAGUGCAACGGAAACUUUUAAACAUUUUUUUCUCCGUGUCGAAAUUUAUUUUCUUCUUGGGUUUUAUACUAGAUAAGUACUUGAUGAUCGUCAAUUUGAUCUACUAUGCAAUAAAUCAAUAUCAAUAAUGAUGUUCAAUUUGAUCUAUCUAUGCAGUAAGUCAACAUCAGCGAUAUUUAUCUUCAAUGGCUUUAGUUGUUAUUUGACUGGAUCAAUCUUAUGUUUCUUUAUCCUCUCCUCAGUAAGUUUUUUCCCCUGCCUUCCUUUUCAUGGUACUUCAAUUUGUGAUUUUUGGCUCUUUAAGAGAGAAUAUGGAUGGGAUCAUUUUACUGUAUUUCAAGAUUUUUAUGGUGAUGAGUUUCUGGUUCAUGCCCCAAUGUUCUCUCUUUUCACAUGUGAAAAAGGAUCUUGUUUUCUUGCUGUCGUUUUUGCUGUCUCACAUCUGCUUGCAGAGUCAACCACUUGAUGGUGGCUGUAUAUGUAGUUGUACAGGCAGCUGUUCCAUCUUUAAUGUUUGUGUUGUUUCCCAUUUCAGCAUCUUGUCAGUUAUUGCUUUGACAUGUAUGAUUCACAAUUUAUGUUUAAUGUGUGUGCACAUUAUAUUGUAUUUUCACAUGCCUAACAAAUGGGGGGGGAAAAAAAAGUGCUAGCAGAUUUUGACAAUACUGUGAGUUAAUUUGUUGUACUUUAUAGUUAGGAGUUGUUUCAAAAAGUUCUCCAUAAAAAGGUUUGUGGAUUUAGAUAAAAGAUGGUGAAAUGUGUCACAUGUGGUUGAAAAGUUGAUAAAAGUUGUGUGUUCCAUGAUAUUAUGGUUAAAAUCAAUUUUUUAGCAACAUUUUUUGCUUUCCUGAACAAGCACUUUGUAGAUAAGCAUUUACUAUCCCCUUACGUAUUAGACUGCAAAUAAUUCUCUUUCUUUCCUUUUCUUUUGUCCCGUCUGUAUUUGUUCCUUUUGGCAUAAUUAUUUUCGUUCAAUCAGUGCAAGCAAUAUGAGAAGGACCUAAUGGACAUGAUCGAUAGAGAAGUGGAUGGAAGUGAUAGUCUUGAGGGGAUUUGUUCUGUGCCAUUCAAUUGCUAGUGGUACAAGCUAAGGUUUCCAAAUCCUAUCACAUUGUGCAAAUUUUCUAUGUAAAUUCCAAAAUAUGAAUGUCUUGAUUCAUAUUUGAUUUUCAUAAGAAUAUGAAACUGGUUUUGUACUGUUCACGGAAGGACAGGUCAACUGCACUGUAGAGGCCCAAUUUAUUCUCUCUGCUUUCACUGUAUAUACUCAAUGUAUCUAUCUCUUCCUUUUCAUUUCUUCCCCCAUUUAGCCAUCCUUGUUGACUAUAUAAUAGUUAUUUGCUUUCCAUGUAGCCACCAUUCUUUCUAGCUACAGUGGUUCUGCAUUGUUCAUUAAAUGAUCGCCCUAACAAAGCGUCAUUUCUUCCAUCUCUAAACCCUCUUUUUUCUUUCCCGAAUUUCAAUCCCCAUUCCCAACACACUUUAAUUCCUCCUACAACGCUAAAAACCCUUCAAUUAAUUUCAUCUCUCCAGGAAUGAGCUGGCUGUACAAGCUUAGAUUUGGUGUUCUUAACUCCACCGACUCCAUGUGGAUUCCUCUUUCGAUUCUUCCAUAGCGCAUGGGACUAGACGAUCAUGUACUCGCUCUGAGCCAUCAGUUCGUGCAAUUCGAAGGAGGUAGAGAAUAUAGUAUUGGCUUCCUCCAUUGCAAUUUAUUGUUGAGUUUUUUUAAAACAGUAUUUAAUCGUAUCCCCAAGAAAAAUUUAUGAAUUUCAGUUCAGAAAUUUGAGAAAAAAUGUGAAGUUUAGGUUUGCUUUCAUCUUAAAUGUCUUAAAAGUUUGUUCUUAUUGGCAAAAAGUUUUAAAUUUCUGCAUUUAUUUAAUUAAGCUUGCUCAUUUUUAUCACCGGCAAAACUAAGAUUUCAGAUUUUGGGUGUGGUGUGGGGCUGAGCAACAUAGGGAAGCAGCAAUGCACAAAGGUCACUCAGAUUAAAAGGCUAAUUGCUAGAAACUGGUGAAUAUAAGCACAAGGAAGAUUUGGAAAUGCUUAUAAAUUUAGAGCUGGGGAAGUUAAAUUAUGUUGAGAACGAGUUCCGGAAUUAUGAAUAUAUUGUAAGAAAAAAUAAUAAAUGAGAUUGUAUAUAAAAUAAAAAGUGGAGCAAUUUGAUUGAAUUAUGCCACUAUGAGUUUUAAUUUUUGAUUUCUUUUAUUUUUUGAUUGUCAAAUUUGUCGACGAAUAAAUGAAACAUAGGAUUGAGUUGAGUAUGACGUGGAGAAAUGUGACUAGAGAGCUUGAAACAUUGACCUCUUGAAAAUUAACUUUUGAGAACGUGAAAACUUCCAACUAGAAAGUAGAAACUGCAUGAUCGGCUGAAUAAUUUGUAAAAAGAAGUGACAAACUGUAAUUUCUCUAUUUUGUGAUUUAUGUUUUCGUGAACAUUAUUGUAGCUAGAUGUUCCUUUAGUUUAUCAUUCACAUAUUGAAAUGAGAUAUUGCACAUGCUAGAAGAAAUAUGUAAUCCUCCUUCUGGUUCUUGGCAAAAUUUGAAGGUGAGUAGAAUUUUCUGAGUACGAACUUUGUUGUUGUUGUUUUUUUUUCUGGCAAUUAUAUUUAUCUUGUGAAAAACUGUUUCAGGAUUACAUGUGAAAAUCUAGGGAUGUUUUUUUUCUCAAGUUUCUUGUGAUGAUGAUGGUAAGUUAUUUUACUCAAUACAAUUUUUUUUACUAUAGAGAUGCUAAUGGCUCCGUGCAACCUUGUUAAUGGGGUUUAUAAACAUUUGUUACUAUAUUCAGGAACCUUUGGCAUAGUUAACUAUAGUAAUUGCUAAAACAUUAAUUAUGUUGUAAGUCACAGUUGUAUUCAUCUUCAAAAUGUUUGAGCUUCUGUGCAUCCAUGAAUUUUUCUAGUCAAUUUGGUAAUUUGUUGUCCUCUUGCUCAGAUCCGGAAAUUUGAUGAUCACGAUUUGAAGAAUCUUUCGACCAGAAUAAUAUCCGGGUAUUCUUUUAUAUUUUUUCUCUUCUUUGUCUGUUUUUCUUCUCUUUUAAGGGAUUAAAUUUUCAAAGAAUGUCGUUUCUUCUUUAUCAAAAAAAAAAAAAAAACCCAAAGCAAGCACUUGGAAUUCAGUUUCUAUUUCUAAUAUAGUGUUAGAAAUUACAUUUGUGCCUUUGUAACCUAUACAAUGCUCAAAUCUUGAACUUCUUACUUCUUAGAGGGAUUUAACUCUUACAGUAUCGUAAUUUUUACUACUAAAAUCUAAGAAUUCGUACAAUAAUAUCUUUACGAAAGUAACUAUCUUAUGAAAUAAUAAACUUUUUUCUUUGUAAAUCAAUAAAUUCAGGUAAAGGAAUACAAGCACAGCCCAUCAAGAAGGCCACGUAGGAGCCGCCGUAGAAUAUCGUAAUUCUUACUACUGAAAUCUAAGAAUUCGU
rnacentral:lncRNA from 1 species